UAUCUAUAGAUCAACUUCAGAUCUAUCCGUUGACAUAGAAUCCAAAAAAAUGUUUUAUGCCCUUUUUAACGAAAAACCCUGCUUUUUUGGGGGGAAAAAAUGUUCAAAGUGGAAUAUUUGAUGUGAAGUAAUUGGAGUCUUAAAUAGGACAAUAAUUCUUGACAUUGCUUUUGGCUCAUUUUUUUAUUUUUAUUUUUAUUAGAUAUUUUUCAUUUUCAAAACAAAUACAAUAUUUAUUGUAACCAUUAGGGCU